rnacentral:rRNA from 1 species
CCAGCAGCCGCGGUAAUUCCAGCUCCAAUAGCGUAUAUUAAAGUUGUUGCAGUUAAAAAGCUCGUAGUUGAAUUUCUGGGGAGUUCGGUGGGUGCGCUUCACUGCGCAACCCGCAGGUUCUCUCCAUCCUCGCAGGGAUGGCGUCGGCAUUCAUUUGUCGCGUUCUGACCUGCGUCCUUUACUGUGAGAAAAUUAGAGUGUUCAAAGCAGGCGUUUCGCUUGAAUACAUUAGCAUGGAAUAAUGAGAUAGGACUUCGGUCCUCCGCUGGUUGCGGAUCGAGGUAAUGAUUAAUAGGGACGGUUGGGGGCCUUCGUAUUCAACUGUCAGAGGUGAAAUUCUUGGA